rnacentral:rRNA from 1 species
AUUGAACGCUGGCGGCAUGCUUUACACAUGCAAGUCGAACGGUAACAGGCCGCAAGGUGCUGACGAGUGGCGAACGGGUGAGUAAUGCAUCGGAACGUGCCCAGUCGUGGGGGAUAACGCAGCGAAAGCUGUGCUAAUACCGCAUACGAUCUAUGGAUGAAAGCGGGGGACCGUAAGGCCUCGCGCGAUUGGAGCGGCCGAUGUCAGAUUAGGUAGUUGGUGGGGUAAAGGCCUACCAAGCCGACGAACUGUAGCUGGUCUGAGAGGACGAGCAGCCACACUGGGACGUAGACACGGCCCAGACUCCUACGGGAGGCAGCAGUGGGGAAUUUUGGACAAUGGGCGCAAGCCUGAUCCAGCAAUGCCGCGUGCAGGAAGAAGGCCUUCGGGUUGUAAACUGCUUUUGUACGGAACGAAACGGUCUGGGUUAAUACCCUGGGCUAAUGACGGUACCGUAAGAAUAAGCACCGGCUAACUACGUGCCAGCAGCCGCCGCGG